rnacentral:rRNA from 1 species
AACGGGUGAGUAACACGUGGGUGAUCUACCUCGCACUCUGGGAUAAGCCUGGGAAACUGGGUCUAAUACCGGAUACGACCAGUCCUCGCAUGGGGGUUGGUGGAAAGGUUUACUGGUGCGAGAUGGGCCCGCGGCCUAUCAGCUUGUUGGUGGGGUAACGGCCUACCAAGGCGACGACGGGUAGCCGACCUGAGAGGGUGACCGGCCACACUGGGACUGAGACACGGCCCAGACUCCUACGGGAGGCAGCAGUGGGGAAUAUUGCACAAUGGGCGAAAGCCUGAUGCAGCGACGCCGCGUGAGGGAUGACGGCCUUCGGGUUGUAAACCUCUUUCGACAGGGACGAAGCGCAAGUGACGGUACCUGUAGAAGAAGCACCGGCUAACUACGUGCCAGCAGCCGCGGUAAUACGUAGGGUGCGAGCGUUGUCCGGAAUUACUGGGCGUAAAGAGCUUGUAGGCGGUUCGUCGCGUCGGUCGUGAAAACGUGCAGCUCAACUGUGCGCCUGCGGUCGAUACGGGCGGACUAGAGUACUUCAGGGGAGACUGGAAUUCCUGGUGUAGCGGUGAAAUGCGCAGAUAUCAGGAGGAACACCGGUGGCGAAGGCGGGUCUCUGGGAAGUAACUGACGCUGAGAAGCGAAAGCAUGGGUAGCGAACAGGAUUAGAUACCCUGGUAGUCCAUGCCGUAAACGGUGGGUACUAGGUGUGGGUUUCCUUCCACGGGAUCCGUGCCGUAGCUAACGCAUUAA